UGGGGAAUUUUGGACAAUGGGGGCAACCCUGAUCCAGCGACGCCGCGUGGAGGAUGAAGGUCUUCGGAUUGUAAACUCCUUUUGGAGGGGAUGAAUGUCUACGUGAAAAACGUAGAGUGACAGUACUCUCUGAAUAAGCCACGGCUAACUACGUGCCAGCAGCCGCGGUAAUACGUAGGUGGCAAGCGUUACUCGGAAUCACUAGGCGUAAAGCGCAGGUAGGCGGUUCGGUAAGUCUCUUGUGAAAGCUCCCGGCUCAACUGGGAGAGGUCAAGGGAAACUACCGGGCUAGAGUGUGGUAGGGGAAACUGGAAUUCCUGGUGUAGCGGUGAAAUGCGUAGAUAUCAGGAGGAACACCUAUGGCGAAAGCAGGUUUCUGGGCCAUCACUGACGCUGAGCUGCGAAAGCUAGGGGAGCAAACAGGAUUAGAUACCCCGGUAGUCC
rnacentral:rRNA from 1 species